GGAACCAAUUUGCAGUCUUGCCUGGCAGCUCCUUUCUUAUAUCCAUGCCUGUGAACCUAGUGCCACCUGCCCUUUUGUGGCUCUGCUUCUGAUCCCUACCCUGGCUUCUGGGGCUGCCUACUUUGCUUCUUCAGGUACUAUGUUGGCCUUUUGCAGGCAUGGCUGAGGAUUUCAGGUGAGGUAGAAUGGGUGAUCAGAAUGGUGUUUCAGUUGUUGUAGGGCUGGUCAGCGCUACCUGGCAGCAUAGUAACUUUGUCUUGGUUUUCCAGGUGCCAUGGGUGUCCCCACAGCAAUGAUGUUGGAGUCUGGAGUUGGUGCGGCACAGGCAAUGAAGGCGAAUGUGGUGACCGAAGGAAGAUCAGAGAGGAUGUGGCUGCCAUUGAGGAUGCCUCUUGAGGACCAAUGGUGUGACACACAGCACUGCAAAAGCUAAGAUGCGGAUUAGUGUUUGGAUCUCUUGAGGGAGAUGGAGGAAGGAAGGGGAAUGCCGUAAGAAGGUGUGGAGCCUUGUGGAGAGCAAGUUGCUUGCGUCCGGGAGGAGCAGGGCAAGGUGAGUGUUGGUCUGAGAGAGGACGCAGAGCCCAGUGUAGGGCUGUUGUCUCGUUGGCGCUGUUCUGGUUUUACGGGUGCCUGGUG